rnacentral:rRNA from 1 species
AAAUUAUUAAAUUAACAAUAAUGUUGUGUUUAAUUUUUAUUUAUUAUUAAUAGAAAUAACUUUAUUAUCUAUUUUAGUAAAGUGUAUUGAAAUAGUUUUUAAGUUUGGUUUAUAGUUUAUUUGUACUGUAAAGGGAAUUUGAAAUAUUUUGAAAUAUUUAUUUAUAAGGAAGUAGAAUAGUAUUUGUACCUUGUGUAUCAGGGUUUAUUUAAUUUAAUUUAUUGAUUAUUAAUUAUCCCGAAGUGGAGAGAGCUAAAAUUAUAAGUUGGUUAGAGUGUUAAAUUUAUCAAUAAUAUAGUUUUUGUAGUGAAAUGUUAGGCGUUUUCUAUUAUAUCUGGUUAUCUAAGAAAUAAAUUUAAUUUAUUUAAUAUUGAUGUAUUUUUUUUUUGAAGGUGAAUGAUUAUUUAUUUAUGGGAUAUAUUUUUGGGGAUAAGCUGAGGAGUAUUAAUUAUAAAUGUUGGGAUUGUAAUUAAGGUUAUAGGCUUUAAAUUGGCUUUUUGUUUAAUAUUGUUAUAAAUUAUUUAUAUGAUUUUAUGAUUUUUAUGAUUUUGAAUUAUAUAUUGGAGUUAAGUAUUUAAUUGUUAAAUAUUUGAAGUAAUGAUGGAAUGAGUAUAGGAUUAGUGUAAAUUGUAAUUUUUUUAAUAAUUAUUUUUGAGGAACUAGGCAAAAUUUUUAUUCGCAUGUUUAUCAAAAACAUCUCUUUUUGAUUUUAUAAAAAGUAGGGCCUGCCCACUGAUAUUUAUUUAAUGGCCGCGGUAAUUUGACCGUGCAAAGGUAGCAAAAUCAUUAGUCUUUUAAUUGAAGGCUGGUAUGAAUGGUUUAAUGAAAUAAAAACUGUCUUAAUUUUAAUAAUUGAAUUUAACUUUUUAGUUAAAAGGCUGAAAUGUUAAUAGAGGACGAGAAGACCCUAUAGAGUUUUACUUUAUAUUAAUUUGGCUUAGUUUAGGAAGUUUGUAUGAGUUUGGUUUUGUUAGAGUUUUGUUGGGGUGACAGGGAGAAUUAAAAAACUUUCUAUAGUUGUAUACAUUGAUUAGUGGUUUGUUGAUCCAAUUUUAUUGAUUAUAAGAUUAAAUUACCUUAGGGAUAACAGCGUAAUUUUUUUUAAGAGUUCUUAUCGGCAAAUGAGAUUGCGACCUCGAUGUUGGAUUAAGAGUAUUUAUAGGUGUAGAGGUUUAUACAAUAAGUCUGUUCGACUUUUAAAUUCUUACAUGAUCUGAGUUCAAACCGGCGUGAGCCAGGUUGGUUUCUAUCCUUAUUAAAAUAUAAGAUCUUAGUACGAGAGGACCAGGUUUUAAGAAAAUUUUUUAAUUGAUGAUUUGUAAUAAAUUUGUGUG